rnacentral:ncRNA from 1 species
CCACCCAAUGCGCCGCCGAUACCGGCCUCAGUGGUACCUCCGGCGCAAGCCAGGCCACUGGCCAGGCUCAGGGACAACAAGAGAAUCGACGAGAACUUCAUUUGAGAGGAGCCUCCUAGGGAUGACGGCGCGAUCCUGAGGCUUGUGACAGUGGGCUUACAACGGAAAUCCGACGAAUAGCACGACCUGUAUACAAAAAGAUAACUUACUGAUUUUACUAGGGAACUUAGUUGAUUUUGGAAGGUCUGAGGCUACUUGAACCCCAUCAUUUCGCGCCUUGUGCGCG